CAAUAGCGUAUAUUUAAGUUGUUGCAGUUAAAAAGCUCGUAGUUGGAUUUCGGUUAAGAGCGACGGGUCCGCCGUUUGGUGUGCACUGGUUGGUUUUAACUUCCUGUAGAGGACGUGCUCUGGGUUUAACGACCUGGACUCGGAGUCUACGUGGUUACUUUGAAAAAAUUAGAGUGUUCAAAGCGGGCUUACGCUUGAAUAUUUCAGCAUGGAAUAACACUAUAGGACUCCUGUCCUAUUUCGUUGGUCUCGGGACGGGAGUAAUGAUUAAGAGGAACAGUUGGGGGCAUUCGUAUUUCAUUGUCAGAGGUGAAAUUCUUGGAUUUAUGAAAGACGAACUUCUGCGAANGNAUUUGCNAAGGAUGUUUNCAUUA
rnacentral:rRNA from 1 species